rnacentral:misc_RNA from 1 species
GGUGUUGAUUUGGAAUAAUUUUUACUUUUGCAUGCCGGCAAAGCAAAGAAUAAAGAGCUAAUGUCCCACCUUGACCAUUGUCAUUCGCUCUGCACACAAUGAAGACAUACUUGAGGAGUGGGAUAAGAGUAAGAGAGUAUAUAAUCAAUGAAAGAGCUCCAAUUACAUCCUCUGGAUCUUUGAUUCCUCGAGGAAAUGUAUUAUAGAACACAUACAAUGGAGAAGUGCCCAAGUCUCCAUAAACCACGCCAAGACUCUGGAAUGCAAGCCGCAGAAGCAAAAGGAACGAGAAUUUCUUUUCUCUGUACAUAUUUCUAAGCCUUCCAGCUUCCUCAUCCAUAGGCUGAUCAAGCUUUUGAUCCAAAACCCACAUACUGCCUCUGUUGUUGUCACUGUCAUAAUCAAUCUCAGUUCUUGAAGUCAUUUCCAUAGUCGAUUCUGAUUGAAUCCAAUUGAAUUCCCUGGCUUUUUAACAAAG